rnacentral:rRNA from 1 species
GACAGAGGGUGCAAACGUUGUUCGGAAUUACUGGGCGUAAAGCGCGUGUAGGCGGCUAAGUAAGUCGGGCGUGAAAUCCCCGGGCUCAACCUGGGAACUGCAUUUGUGACUGCAUGGCUGGAGUGCGGCAGAGGGGGAUGGAAUUCCGCGUGUAGCAGUGAAAUGCGUAGAUAUGCGGAGGAACACCGAUGGCGAAGGCAAUCCCCUGGGCCUGCACUGACGCUCAUGCACGAAAGCGUGGGGAGCAAACAGG